rnacentral:ncRNA from 2 species
UUACAUUCUCAGGGCGGGGUGAAAUUCCCCACCGGCGGUGAAGAGGCAUCUCUGGAUGCCACAAAGCCCGCGAGCGCCUGCGAGCAUGGUUUUGCGCAGGGUCAGCAGAUCCGGUGAUCCCGUUAACGGGUAUUCCGGAGCCGACGGUGUUGUCCUGGUGCAGGAAUUCAUCCCUGUCAGCCAGGCUCAGUCCGGAUGGGAGAGAAUGGUC